rnacentral:tRNA from 1 species
GUUUCUGUAGUUGAAAUACAACGGUGGUUUUUCAGAUCAUUGGUCUUGGUUAAAGUCCUGGCAGAAAUU